UACGGGGGGGGCAAGCGUUGUUCGGAAUUACUGGGCGUAAAGGGCUCGUAGGCGGCCAACUAAGUCGGACGUGAAAUCCCCAGGCUCAACCUGGGAACUGCGUCCGAUACUGGAUGGCUUGAAUCCGGGAGAGGGAUGCAGAAUUCCAGGUGUAGCGGUGAAAUGCGUAGAUAUCUGGAGGAAUACCGGUGGCGAAGGCGGUAUCCUGGACCGGCAUUGACGCUGAGGAGCGAAAGCCAGGGGAGCAAACGGG
rnacentral:rRNA from 1 species